AGGGAACCGCCUGAACUGAAACAUCUAAGUAGGGCGAGGAAGAGACAUCAAACGAGAUUCCGUAAGUAGUGGCGAGCGAACGCGGAAGAGGGCAAACCGGGAGUAGAAAUACUUCCGGGGUACGGACUGCUUUUAGGACUUAAUCUGUUAACCGAACGGCAUGGGAAGGCCGGUCAGAGAGUGUGAGAACCACGUAGGUGAAAACGGAGAGAGCUGCGCAGAUUCCAGAGUACGGCCAGACACGUGAAACCUGGUCGGAAGAUGGGGGGACCACCCUCCAACCCUAAAUACUACCCAGUGACCGAUAGCGUAUAGUACUGUGAAGGAAAGGUGAAAAGCACCCCGGGAGGGGAGUGAAAAAGAACCUGAAACCCUGUGCCUACAAGCACCUAGAGCACGUCAAAGUGUGAUAGGGUACUUUUUGUAGAACGGUCCGGCGAGCGAUUGUAUGCAGCAAGGUUAAGGACUUAAGGUCUGGAGCCGAAGCGAAAGCGAGUUUGAAAAGGGCGUUAAGUUGCAUAUAAUGGGCCCGAAACCGGGUGACCUACCCAUGGUCAGGUUGAAGUGGAAGUAAAAUUCCAUGGAGGACCGAACCGACCUCCGUUGAAAAGGCGGCGGAUGAACUGUGGGUAGCGGAGAAAUUCCAAUCGAACCCGGAGAUAGCUGGUUCUCCCCGAAAUAGUUUUAGGACUAGCCUCAAGUUAGAUACCUGGAGGUAAAGCACUGAAUAGCCUAGCGGCCGAGAGGUUAGCGAAGCUUAUCAAACUCAGAAUGCCAGAGUAUUGAUGCUUGGGAGUCAGACAGUGUCAGAUAAAUGUCAUUGUCAAAAGGGAAACAGCCCAGAUCUACAGCUAAGGUCCCAAAGUCAGGUUAAGUGGAAAACGAUGUGAAGAUACGCAGACAACCAGGAUGUUGGCUCAGAAGCAGCCACUCAUUCAAAGAGUGCGUAAUAGCUCACUGGUCGAGCGUCUUUGCGCGGAGAAUUUAACGGGGCUAAACCUGACACCGAAGCUUAGGCAAUCCAGUAAUGGAUUGGGUAGGGGAGCGUUGUAUACGCGGAGAAACAGUAGCGUAAGCGGCUGUGGAGUGUAUAGAAGUGAGAAUGCCGGAAUGAGUAGCGCGAAUGCAGUGAGAAUCUGCAUGGCCGAAAGCCUCAGGUUUUUGGAGGAAGGUUCGUCCGCUCCAAGUUAGUCGGGAGCUAAGGUGAGGCCGGAAGGCGUAGCCGAUGCACAGACGGUAGAGAUUCCGUCACCACCAAAAGAGUUAAGCACAGGGACACAUUUGAAGUCUCAGAGCCGGGUGUUGGUUCCGGUAGAGAUCGAGGGAAGUUAGUACCGAAGUCUGGGAUGGAAGAUGGCGAGAAAAGCUGUGUGUAUUUCUGAGGUGCCCGUACCGCAAACCGACACAGGUAGGUAGGAAGAAGAUUCUAAGGCCAACGGGAGAAGGGUUGUUAAGGAACUCGGCAAAUUGACCCCGUAACUUCGGGAGAAGGGGUGCUCCAGAGAUGGAGCCGCAGAGAAUCGGCCCAAGCAACUGUUUACCAAAAACACAGGUUUGUGCUAAAUCGAAAGAUGACGUAUACGAGCUGACGCCUGCCCGGUGCUGGAAGGUUAAGAGGAGAUGUGCAAGCAUUGAAUCGAAGCCCCAGUGAACGGCGGCCGUAACUAUAACGGUCCUAAGGUAGCGAAAUUCCUUGUCAGGUAAGUUCUGACCCGCAUGAAAGGCGUAAUGAUUUGGGCACUGUCUCAACAGCCCGCCCGGCGAAAUUGUAGUACCGGUGAAGAUGCCGGUUACCCGCGACAAGACGGAAAGACCCCAUGGAGCUUUACUGUAGCCUAAUAUUGGGUUUCGAUGUUGCAUGCACAGGAUAGAUGGGACACAGGGAAACAGGAGCUUUGGCUUCUGCGGAGUGGCCGUUGGGAUACCAUCCUUGCGAUAUUGGAAUUCUAACCUGCGGCUCUGAAUCGAGUCGGGGGACAUUGUUAGGUGGGCAGUUUGACUGGGGCGGUCGCCUCCUAAAAAGUAACGGAGGCGUUCAAAGGUUCGCUCAGCUUGAACGGAAAUCAAGCAAAAGAGUGCAAACGCAGAAGCGAGCCUAACUGCGAGACUGACGGGUCGAGCAGUAACGAAAGUUGGAGUUAGUGAUCCGGUGGUAUGUGAGUGGAAAUGCCAUCGCUCAACGGAUAAAAGUUACCCUGGGGAUAACAGGCUGAUCUCCCCCAAGAGUCCACAUCGACGGGGAGGUUUGGCACCUCGAUGUCGGCUCAUC
rnacentral:rRNA from 1 species